rnacentral:rRNA from 1 species
GGGGGGGGGGGGGGGGGGGGGGGGGGCGGGGAGGGGGGGCGAGCAGGCGGGGGGCGGGCGCCUCGGACGUGGGCGGCGGAGGGGGGGGGAACACGUGGCUAACCUACCUAUAAGACUGGGAUAACUUCGGGGAACCGGAGCUAAUACCGGAGAAUAUAUUGAACCGCAUGGUGCAAUAGUGAAAGACUGUUUUGCUGUCACUUCUAGCUGGUUCCGCGCCUCAUUAGCUAGUUGGUAAGGUAACGGCUUACCACGGCAACGAUGCGUAGCCGACCUGAGAGGGUGAUCGGCCACACUGGAACUGAGACACGGUCCAGACUCCUACGGGAGGCAGCAGUAGGGAAUCUUCCGCAAUGGGCGAAGGCUUGACGGAGCAACGCCGCGUGAGUGAUGAAGGUCUUCGGAUCGUAAAACUCUGUUAUUAGGGAAGAACAAAUGUGUAAGUAACUAUGCACGUCUUGACGGUACCUAAUCAGAAAGCCACGGCUAACUACGUG